UACGUAGGGGCUAGCGUUAUCCGGAAUUACUGGGCGUAAAGGGUGCGUAGGCGGCCUUUCAAGCCAGGAGUGAAAGGCUACGGCUCAACCGUAGUAAGCUUUUGGAACUGUAAGACUUGAGUGCAGGAGAGGAGAGUGGAAUUCCUAGUGUAGCGGUGAAAUGCGUAGAUAUUAGGAGGAACACCAGUAGCGAAGGCGGCUCUCUGGACUGUAACUGACGCUGAGGCACGAAAGCGUGGGGAGCAAACAGGAUUAGAUACCCUGGUAGUCCCU
rnacentral:rRNA from 1 species